rnacentral:lncRNA from 1 species
GCUGAGCCUAAUUGGAAUAGAGAAUGAAGGGAGAAUUCUGGGAAAUGAUGGGGAUGGAGGCAAAUGGAUAAGAGUCAGCAUGCUAGAGACAUUUGGAAUGAAGCAUGCAAUGCCAUUUCAAUCAAUUUAAUUUGUCACCUGCAAAAACAUUAAAUUUUUAUUUUAUAUUAUUUAAUGUAAUCAUAUUAUCAUGUGUAAUUAUAUUAUCAUGAACAUCAUUUUGUGAAAAGCCAAACAUGUUCUAGGCAUUUUCCAAUUAAUUGUUUAAUAUGUACAUUGCUAAGAAUUUACCUAAAGCACUGAAUUUAAAUUAUCAGUAGGUGGUGCUGCUGAGAUUGAGUCUUGAAAAAUCUAAAACAGAUAUUUAACUGAAAAUUAUCUAGGCUCCAGACAAGUUAUUUGGGAAAAAGAAUUCAGUGUUAUUAGGCAGUCAAUUUCCCAGUCAUCAUUUUACCAUGCCAUCUGGAAAAUGUUGAUGUUUAGAGUUUUGAUUUGCUUAAUAUGCAGCAUAUUCUAGGUUUGCUCCGAAACUAAAGAAACUGAAACUGACAUAAAUCUUCAGAAUCUGAAGGAAGAACAUAUUAUCAAACAUAAUAUUGAUCAUUUAUGAUAGGUUGUACUGGGGGUGGCUAUUGCCACCCAUGUGGCAUGUUUAAAUUUACUGUGAUAGAUCCAAGAAACAAAUCAGAAUGUGUAUUAAGAUUUAAAAGAAAAGUUCAAUUUGAGUUUCCUGGAGAAGAGAAUUAUAUGCAAGGAACUUCAGAGCUUUACAUUCUGGCAGAAUCAGAAGUGACCCUCUGAGGUACCAUUUUCAUGUCAACUUUCAAGAUAUAGAGAGGACUUCAGGCCUUUAACCAAUUAGAAAUAGGCCCAUAAAAAUCAUGCAAUUAUAAAAUGUCCAGUCUGGUAUGGAUAUUAAAGACGCUGAAAUCUCUAUUCUCCAACCUACGUCAAAGAGAAACGUAGUAACAUAUAGACUCCCAGGAAUUUUCCUGAAGAUUCUGAUUUGGUAGGUCUGAGAUGGGACUGGAAACCUG